UGAUUAGGAAUUGUUUUGAUACACAACUAAUAUUAUUCAAAAUAAAUAUCAAUAACAGUUGCUAUGGAAACACAUUACAAAGAACAUUGCAGUUGGCUUCAGACCACAAUUAAUUCCCUUUUUCCAUGGUCUUUGAAUAUAGUUCCCAAUUAUCAUAUGGGGUAUUUCUUCCUAAGUAUUCUGGCUACUGUUUUCUUUGAAAUGCUUACUAUUUAAGUGGUCCUAUCAGUUGCAUAUAUAUAUAUAUUGAAAUAAGUAAAACAUGUGAAAAAAAUAUUGUUUAAAGUGAAAGUAGUGAUUU
rnacentral:lncRNA from 1 species